rnacentral:rRNA from 1 species
GCACAAGCGGUGGAGCAUGUGGUUUAAUUCGAAGCAACGCGAAGAACCUUACCAGGUCUUGACAUCCUCUGACACUCCUAGAGAUAGGACGUUCCCCUUCGGGGGACAGAGUGACAGGUGGUGCAUGGUUGUCGUCAGCUCGUGUCGUGAGAUGUUGGGUUAAGUCCCGCAACGAGCGCAACCCUUGAUCUUAGCUGCCAGCAUUCAGUUGGGCACUCUAAGGUGACUGCCGGUGACAAACCGGAGGAAGGUGGGGAUGACGUCAAAUCAUCAUGCCCCUUAUGACCUGGGCUACACACGUGCUACAAUGGAUGGUACAAAGGGCUGCAAAACCGCGAGGUCGAGCCAAUCCCAUAAAACCAUUCUCAGUUCGGAUUGUAGGCUGCAACUCGCCUACAUGAAGCUGGAAUCGCUAGUAAUCGUGGAUCAGCAUGCCACGGUGAAUACGUUCCCGGGC